AGAAUAUCCAACAAUUACUGGUGCUUUGUUCUUCUUCUUUGAGUUGUGAUUGGCUGAAAACCCUUCACAUCACUUGGUGCAUUCUAGAACUGUAGUGAGUAUGUCCUUCUUUGUAAAGUGUGUUGAUGACAGAAUCUGACGCUGCUAAACUUUGGUUCACCUAAAGUUCUGCAAGAUAAUAUUUUAUGUGAAGCUUGAACAGCUGUACUGUGUGUUUGGGGUGGAGGGUGGGGGAGGUGGGGAGGGCCUAGCAAAUGUGUCAUGCCUGAAAUUUUGGGGGAUUUUUAAAAAAUGUUUUCUCCAUAAUCAAACACAGUUUUUUUUUUGUUUUUUGUUUUUAUGCUGGACCUACUGAGUGAUCA